rnacentral:misc_RNA from 1 species
GAUUAAAGCAUCAUUGCAUAAUUAGAUAUUGAGAGGAUACCAUUUCCAUUGAACCUGUAAUAUUAAUGGGACACCCCAUUUAAAUGACAUGAAAUAGUCUUCGAAGGUUCAUUUGCUCAUUAUCUUGGCAGAGAAAGUCUCAUGGGAUACAGACCUAACAAUUGAGAUUGAAUCCUAGAUUACCAGUCACACUUGGACGAAAGGGUUUACCGUUAGAGGAUCAAAAUGGGUUUGUUCACCGGUCCUCCCUCCUGUCCGCUAAAAAUUUGUAAAUCACUACAUUUUCAUUCCAUUAGGUCAACACACUUACGAAAUUAUAGUUUGUUGAGAAUUAUGGACGCAAGAGUGUGAAUAUCAAAUUGGC